rnacentral:SRP_RNA from 1 species
CCAGAUGCCUUUCACACAAUUGUUAGAAAACCCCGUCAGAGGAGGAAUCCAGCAGCGGUAUCUUUCGUAUUGUGGUGCUUAGGAUUAUCUGGGCUCU